rnacentral:tRNA from 1 species
GGGGCCGUAGUCUAGCCUGGCUAGGAUAUGCAGACACUGCACCUAAAGCUCGGCUUGGGCCCGAGUGAUCCCGGGUUCAAAUCCCGGCGGCCCCACCA